GACAUCAGAAAGACAAAGGGAAAUGAAUAUUCUCAGAACUCCAUCCUGCCACAUUUGUUUUUGAGAACUUUCCAUUCUGAUGUAUCUCAAGUCAUUGGGAGAGUUGCAAGGAGGAGUGAUAUAAGCCCAAGGAAAUCCUGCUUCCAGGAGGAAGUCAUUAGACAGAAAAUUUAAAAAAAGAAAAUCAUCUGAGCAGGGGCACAGAAAUAAUCAAAUUACCUCAUUAAAGACCUUGGAGACAACGUGCUUAUUCAGGAUGGGAACGUAGGUGGCGUUUCGGGGCACUACGGUCCCAGUCAAGGCAUCCAUGAUGGUGAGCUUCUUGGCCACCAGGCCAUGGGUUUGGAGCCACUUUUCAGAAGACAUGUCUGUGGAGCUAAGGACACAAGACUGUAGGGUUUGAAACCUGCGACUUGGCUGUUUGGAAACAAAGCAGAGCAAACCGUCCUCCUUAGAUGCAAGCACUCACGUGUGGUCAUUAACUUGGCUUCGGUGGUCAUUAACUUGGCUUCGGUUUUCGGUGAGUCCCUCUGACAAUUUGUCAUGUAGGCACUUAUUCAUCAGCAGGAUGCUC